AUCGCUUCUCGGCCUUUUGGCUAAGAUCAAGUGUAGUAUCUGUUCUUAUCAGUUUGAAAAAGGAGGUACAAUUAACCUCUUUAACUCAUAAAUUCCAGAUUAAUUAAUAAUUCAU
rnacentral:snRNA from 1 species